AACGGCCGUACCAUGCUGAAUAUACCGGUUCUCGUUAGAUCACCGAAGUUAAGCAUCAUUGAGCGCGGUCAGUACUUGGGUGGGUGACCACCUGGGAACACUGCGUGCCGU
rnacentral:rRNA from 1 species